CGUCAAAGUACCAAAACUUGUUCUCAAACAUUAAUAUCCACAAGAUGGUUUCUAUGAUCAAAGUCUAUGCUGUCAUUCUCCUCUUGAUCUUUGUGAGCAUGUCUUCAGGUAGAGUGCAAGGGAUCAGGAAUGGGUUUUAUCACAGAAACACACCAAAUGAGGUAACUGUUGAAAAGGAAAUGAGAAAUCUCAUGUCAGUUGAAGAAGUAUUGGACUAUCCACCGGCAAGACCUAAUCCAAGGCAUGGCAAAGGGCAACCUUAGCGCCUGGAGGCCCUAACUGCUGACCAACUUCAUAUAUUCACUGCCUAAUUAAGAUAUUCAUAUGUAACAAUAAAUUCCACUCUCUUUGUAGGAAAAGAGGGCUGCUGGGGUCCUUAGAACCCAAUAAAUGGAGAACAGGUUAUAUGGAAUUAUAUAAAAUAUGUGUUUAUAAUAUUAUGUUUUUGUUAAUUAAUGCUAAAUCAAAAUUAUACUGAGUAUAAAUAAAUUAAGCCAAAAAACCCUGCAGCAGUGAAGGAAAAUAUUUGUAUGUUUUUUUGGUAAUUAGAAAAUAAUUAUAUGUUAUAUUA